CAUAGCUCAGAUCUCAGCCCUCCAAAACAAAUCCAACGGCUGAGAUUCGUCCACGUCAUCACGAGUUAAAAUUUAACUCGUAGGAGUAAAAAUUUUACUGGGAGUCAAAUUUCAGGAGUUAAAAUUUUAUUGGAGUUAAAUUUUAACUCGUGAUGACGUGGACGAAUCUCAGCUGUUGGAUUUAUUUUGGAGGACUGAGAUCUACGCUAUA
rnacentral:pre_miRNA from 1 species